rnacentral:rRNA from 1 species
AUUGCACGCUGGCGGCAGGCCUAACACAUGCAAGUCGAACGAGUGGCGGACGGGUGAGUAAUGUCUGUGAAACUGCCUGAUGGAGGGGGCUAACUACUGGAAACGGUAGCUAAUACCGCAUACCAUCAGAUGUGCCCACAUGGGAUUAGCUUGGUGGUGGGGUAACGCCUCACCAAGGUGACGAUCCCUAGCUGGUCUGAGUGGAUGACCAGCCACACUGGAACUGAGACACGGUCCAGACUCCUACGGGAGGCAGCAGUGGGUAAUAUUGCGCAAGGGGCGCAAGCCUGAUGCAUCCAUGCCGCGUGUAUGAAGAAGGCCUUCGGGUUGUAAAAUACUUUCAGCGGGGAGGCGUUACCCGCAGAAGAAGCACCGGCUAACUCCGUGCCAACAGCCGGGGUAAUAC